UCAACAUUGCCAACACUGCUGCCGAGUGUAAUUUCUUCUCUGCUGGCUGACUGACUGGCUGGUUGUUGCCAUCUCCAUCUAUCCGUGUAUCUGUGAGGUAAAUGCGUUCGUCGCCUCACUAAUGUUGCUUGCCGGCAUCAACAGCCAAAUUGAGGUUCGUUUGUGUUGGUUUAGUUUCGGUUGCUUGGGUGUGUGUGUGUGUGUGUGCGCACCGUGUAUCCGUGUGUGUGGAGUGUGUGACUGUGUUGGGUUCACAUUUCGUUUGCUGGCUGGUGGUGCUCGUUCUGCUGCCUUCAAACUUUUGGUAACUCUCCUACCUCAGUGUUCAAAUACGUUCCUAACCGUGAGCAACCAAAGAAUUUGUUUCGUUUCGUUUUUGUUUUUCUGUUCUCUGUUUAACACCUUUUCUGUUGUGUUCAUUCAUCAUCAUCUGCUGAGUGUGCAAACGGCUAACGGCUAUCCAUCCGAACCAAAACCAAUUCAACCUACUUCCAUUCAGCGCCACAGCCUGUUCGGUGUUGGAAAUCAUUCUGUUUUCGUCUUCUCAUCAUCAGCAACAUCAUCAUCGUCGUCAUUAUCAUUCUCAGCUCGACGUGACAACACUCGAAUCGCGCCGCAACCCAAGAAAAGCCGCCAAAAAUUUGUUAAAAAAAGAAAACAACGGGAAAAUUUAAUUAUUUAUUUUUGUUUAAAAAAAUUCUGCAACUAUUGUGUCAUCUAAACAAAACAACAACAAAAAACACAACAAAAUUAAUUUCCAAUUCUGUGAAAAAUUGCCAAGUUGUCAAGUGUAAAGAUACGUCCGAAAAUAUCUUUGAAAAAAUUCAAAUAAUUUUUUAAGUUUUUUAAAAAAAAUGUUGAGCAACCAAAAAAGUUGACAUCAUUACUUCUCACAAAACGAAACACUUCAGCCAAGUAUUUUGAAAAAAAACGAAAAAUCCGCUCCUUUCUAAUCGAACGCAGCCAAAAAAGAACAGUUCGUACCAACAUUAUGUGGAAUUAUUAACAAAACUUAACAUAACAAAAAAAAUUAAAACUAUCACCAAAAAAAUUACAAAAUUUGACCCAAAAUAAAACUAAAUUUUCACUUUAGUGUCGCAGUGUCUGUCUUGUUUCGGAUUCCAAAUACUCGUACCGACCAACCAACAACAAAAAUACAAUUUUAAGAAUUAAUUAAAGAAACAUAACAAAAAAGAAUUAACUAAAAUAUAAUAAAUAGAGGUACCUCUACCUACUACCAACACAGAGUUAAAUAAGAAAAAAACAUAAUUUUUUUUAUAAAAAAAACUAACACACACACAGACACACGAACCUACAAAUUCGUUGGUAUCUUUCGUUCUCUCCCGCAGUUGGUGUUGUGUUGCUAUUUGAACACACAAAUGUUGGCAUAUAAACAAAAUUAAAAAAAAAAAAAACAAAAGAAAUCUGAAAAUUUAAAGCCAGUCGUUCGACAAAGAAUUCAAAAUUGAAAUUUCUUGAAAUUGGCCCAAGAACAAAAUUAAAAGCAACGGCGUUUUU